UACCAAUAUGAUUUUCUAACUUGCUUUAAUGACUCUGUAGCUCAUUAUUUAAUGUGAAAUAGUUCAUGUCAAUUUACAUAGAGAGAAAGAGAUGUAUACGACAAGUUUGGUCACACCUAUCAGAAUAGAGAACAGAAUAAUGAAUAUAUAGGGAUUUACACUCGACUUAAAGCUAAGAUCAAAGGUGUACUUGUGUUGUAGUUUAAUGACAAGACUAUUUUAUGUUUUAUUAUCUGGCAAGGGUUUACACUACUGACACAAUUUUAAAGGUGACUUUUCUAUCUUUAUUCUUUAAUAAUAUCUCUGAGUCAUUUUUAAAUCUGUCUUUAGGAUUUUCCUGAGAAAGAAAGAAGAAGAAAAGGGUAGAACAAUACUAUGAAAAUGAACUAAAAAUCUAUAAUAAUAACGAUUAAUUAUUAGUCACACUUUGAGCUUAGAAGAGAUGCACUUUCCAAAUGAUUGAUAGAUUGGAUAGUUGUGUUAAAUAAGAAAAUCCAUAGGUUAGUCCAUGUGAUAGUGUCAGUGCUUUUGAAUUUGGAAAAGCUACAGCUAAAGACAAAUGGCAUUGCAAAGCUAAAUGAGUUUGAUAUGUUCAAUAGAAUAGAUAAACAUUAAAAGCAUUCUUGGGUUUCAAUUUCAGUUGGAUAUACUUUUCAUGCUUUGAAUACAAUGUGAAUUAGACAAGUUAAAG